GUAUACACUUUUGUGUAUUAGAGUGUGUUUAAGAACAAUCAGAAUGUUUUGUGUAAGAUUAAAGAGAUUAAGAGAAUAAGUAGAGAGAGAAUAGAGAGAAUACUCAAAACUCCAUUAAUUGAUUUAAUGUCUCAGAUACAAGUUAUAAAUAAAGAGAUAAGGCUGAUACAAAGGUGAUUUCGAAAUGGGACUCAAAGCAUGUGAAGUCAAGGCUAGCUGGCUGCUGAGAGGCUUCACAUGCUUGGACAGGCUGUAAAGUAGCUUUACCUUUCCAACUAUGACCAGACCUUAUCCAAACAGCUCCUCCCUUAUCCAUACUCCUCUUGGGCGUGCUUCUCCUCACCAAAGUGAUCCAAGGUAACUUCCUAAGCCUUUAACUUAGUUACCAUAGUAAAACUAAAGUUACUGUGGUAAAACUCCAAAGUUACUGUGGUAAAACUCCAAAGUUACCAUCUGCCCCAAUACUCUUCCUCUAUCCAUGUAUCAACUCUUCAUCACCUCAUCUCAACACUCCCCAUCAAGCUUGACCAUGUAGAACAAGUCAAGC
rnacentral:lncRNA from 1 species